GGCAAGAGGUCAGAAUUAUUUCAUUCAUAAAUACUGUAAAAAGGACAUAUCAGCUGCGAAAUAUAACUGAGAUGUCAUCGGUGGAAGUGUUCUGAUUAGUGUCGACGUUUUCAUCAUGCGAUUAAACUCUUCAGUGUCAAUAUGGUGCAUUUGAGCAUGUCUUUUGCGAAAAUAGACCACUGCUUUUGUCUUCUGAAAUGCAUAACGGGGUAUUGUUUGUCAGUAUUAGUAUAUUAUAUACCGUAAUGGAUUAAUGGGUUAGUAACAAAGCUCUGGUUUUAUUGGAACCAGUCACGAAGAUGGAAGCACUCUCUGGUGGGAUGUACGAAAGCCUGGGUCACCUAUAUCUUUAGUGAAGUAUCAUUCAGAAUCAGCUUUAUCCCUUGCUAUCGAUGGGUCUUGCAAUGGUGGAAUCUCAGGAGGCGCUGAUGAUAAAGUAGUCAUUUUCACGCUUGAUCAUCCAAAAUUCUUCAUACUGCUUUCAUGCUCCCUGGCGGUCUUCUGCAACAUGAGCCAGUACCUCUG